AUGACACAGGGUUUCCGGGGCUUUAAGGGUGAAAAGGGCGAACCAGGCCAGCCUGGUCUGGAUGGGCUGGAUGCCCCGUGCCAAUUGGGUCCAGAUGGACUACCGAUGCCUGGCUGCUGGCAGAAGGUAAGCACACUAGAUAGGAAAUUGUCUCCUACAUGGUAGUAUAAUAUUAAAGGUUAUUCCAUGCCUUGUUCAAACACUAAUGCAUGAGGUUUCUGAUUUUUUUGGAAUUUUGAAAUGCACCCUAAGUAACCCUGUGUGGUGCCACUACACACUACGUGUGUUGUGUUAGCUGUGAACCCCUGUGUGUAUUUGUAUCUUGUUUCUCACCACCUGUCUCUGUGUUUCUCUUACAGUGAUCAAUCUAACUCAAACCGCAUGGAAUUUGUAAAUAAUGCUUCAUUUUUGUAUUUAUAUUUUUUUUUAAU
rnacentral:lncRNA from 1 species